UACGGAGGGUGCAAGCGUUAUCCGGAUUCACUGGGUUUAAAGGGUGCGUAGGAGGGCAGGUAAGUCAGUGGUGAAAUCUCCGUGCUUAACAUGGAAACUGCCAUUGAUACUAUCUGUCUUGAAUAUUGUGGAGGUUAGCGGAAUAUGUCAUGUAGCGGUGAAAUGCUUAGAUAUGACAUAGAACACCAAUUGCGAAGGCAGCUGGCUACACAUAUAUUGACUCUGAGGCACGAAAGCGUGGGGAUCAAACAGG
rnacentral:rRNA from 1 species